CCGAGAAUAUUCGACAAUGGGCGAAAGCCUGAUCGAGCGAUACCGCGUGGUGGAUGAAGCGCUUCGGCGCGUAAACAUCUUUUAUGGAGGAGGAAGUUAUUGACGUUACUCCAUGAAUAAGGGGCUCCUAACUCUGUGCCAGCAGGAGCGGUAAUACAGAGGCCCCAAGCGUUACCCGGAAUUACUGGGCGUAAAGAGUGCGUAGGUGGUCGUAUUAGUCGUCUGUCAAAACCCAGGGCUCAACCCUGGAUCCGCGGGCGAAACGGUACGACUCGAGAGCGUGAGAGGUACAUGGAACUCAUGGUGUAGGGGUGAAAUCCGUUGAUAUCAUGGGGAACACCGAAAGCGAAGGCAAUGUACUGGCGCGUUUCUGACACUCAAGCACGAAAGCGUGGGUAGCGAACGGGAUUAGAUACCCCCGUAGUCC
rnacentral:rRNA from 1 species